UUGUCUGUGCUCAUAAUUUACAUUGAUUCCCAACAGAAUCAUUUGUGAGUAUAGGUUUCCGUUAUUGUUUUAGUGUCCAAGGACAUGAGCCACCUAUAAAUGUUGAAGGAGGAGUCACAAUGAGAACAGUACGAGUUCUACUUAACACAGGAGUCACCGGGACCUCAUAGUAUAGCAAAAUGUUUGCCAAACUGUUGAUCUUGUUUGCCGUCCUGGCCGUGGCUCUUGCGAGGCCUCAGUUCUACUCCGGUUACGGCAACUACGCGUCCAGUUAUCCGGGCUACUACGGCUAUUCCGGUUAUUCCGGGUAUUCCAACCCCCUGAGCUACGGAUCCUACGGUACUUACGGAGCUUCCCCGUACAGUUACGGCUACGGUUAUUACUGAGUCUGACCUUAUAUGCUAAUGCCCAAUGUUUACGCCUAGUUAUGUGAUGUACCUAAUUUUAAUUCCUUGCAAUAUAUACUUACUGUGAAUACAA